GUGGCGGCGUGCUUAACACAUGCAAGUCGAACGAUGAUGCCCAGCUUGCUGGGUGGAUUAGUGGCGAACGGGUGAGUAACACGUGAGUAACCUGCCCCUGACUCUGGGAUAAGCGUUGGAAACGACGUCUAAUACUGGAUAUGAUCACUGGCCGCAUGGUCUGGUGGUGGAAAGAUUUUUUGGUUGGGGAUGGACUCGCGGCCUAUCAGCUUGUUGGUGAGGUAAUGGCUCACCAAGGCGACGACGGGUAGCCGGCCUGAGAGGGUGACCGGCCACACUGGGACU
rnacentral:rRNA from 1 species